rnacentral:rRNA from 1 species
CGGACGGGUGAGUAAUGUCUGGGAAACUGCCUGAUGGAGGGGGAUAACUACUGGAAACGGUAGCUAAUACCGCAUAACGUCUCCGGACCAAAGUGGGGGACCUUCGGGCCUCACACCAUCGGAUGUGCCCAGAUGGGAUUAGCUUGUAGGUGGGGUAAUGGCUCACCUAGGCGACGAUCCCUAGCUGGUCUGAGAGGAUGACCAGCCACACUGGAACUGAGACACGGUCCAG